rnacentral:rRNA from 1 species
UACGAAGGGGGCUAGCGUUGCUCGGAAUCACUGGGCGUAAAGGGCGCGUAGGCGGCCAUUCAAGUCGGGGGGUGAAAGCCUGUGGCUCAACCACAGAAUUGCCUUCGAUACUGUUUGGCUUGAGUUUGGCAGAUGGUUGGUGGACUGCGAGUGUAGAGGUGAAAUUCGUAGAUAUUCGCAAGAACACCAGUGGCGAAGGCGGCCAACUGGACCAACACUGACGCUCAU